CAAUAGCGUAUAUUAAAGUUGUUGCAGUUAAAAGCUCGUAGUUGGAUUUCUGGCUGGAGCGAUCGGUCCGCCCCGCAAGGGGUGUGUACUAGCGUCGUCUCCGACCAUCCUUGUGGGAACUGUGCGGCCGUUAACUCGGUUGUAUAUGGGAACACAUCGUUUACUGUGAAAAAUUAGAGUGUUUAAAGCAGGCUUAAGCCGUUGAAUACAUUAGCAUGGAAUAAUAAGAUAAGACUUGGGUCAUUAUUUUGUUGGUUUGCGGAUCGAGGUAAUGAUUAAUAGGGAUAGUUGGGGGUGCUAGUAUUCAGCGGCCAGAGGUGAAAUUCUUGGAUUCGCUGAAGACUAACUUAUGCGAAAGCAUUCACCAAGGAUGUCUUCUUUAAUCAAGAACGAAAGUUGGGGGAUCGAAGACGAUUAGAUACCGU
rnacentral:rRNA from 1 species